rnacentral:lncRNA from 1 species
UUUUACAAGGAAUUAGAUAUAGUAAAGAAUUAGGAAAGUAUCUCCUAAUUGUACAAUGAUUUAUCACUUAUAUAAAACAUAGGAAAGUAAAUCCCUUAAUUAAUCAAGGAAGUAAACCUCCUUGAUUAAUUAGGAGACUUAUGUCAUCACGAAUGCCCAACUUGGUAAGUGAGUCAUGAUAUACUCUUCCACACUCACAGCAUAUGCAAUAUCUAAUCUUGGAGGACGUAUGAAGAGUAGAACCUUUGGUGGUG